GACAGAGGUGCCGAGCGUUAGGCGGAAUCACUGGGCUUAAAGCGUGUGUAGGCGGGCGAUCAAGUACCUUGUGAAAUCCCACGGCUCAACCGUGGAACCGCUGGGUAUACUGGUUGUCUUGAGCCGGCUAGGGGCGAGCGGAACAGACGGUGGAGCGGUGAAAUGCGUAGAUAUCGUCUGGAACGCCGAAGGUGAAAACAGCUCGCUGGGGCCGCGCUGACGCUGAGGCACGAAAGCGUGGGGAGCAAACAGG
rnacentral:rRNA from 1 species